GAGCACUAAGACCUGGAGUGCCCAAUUGCAGGAGAACACUUCCCUCAGGAGGUAGCAUCUUUCCUGGAUCACUCCUGGCAGAGGCUACCAAAGAGGCAGAGGGUGGACUACAUGCAGCCAUAUGUGGAGCCUUCCCAUUCUGAGGAGGCUGUAAUCUGAAAUUACUGGUACAGUCAUAGGCAGCACUGCAGGCAGAGGAUCACUGUAUGCCUCUCACCACUGAAGCUCAAGAAAUGUCCAAGGCAGCAGCUUCUGAUGGCAUCAAGCAGGUGACAGCAGCAAUGGCAGAGAGCCAGGGAGCUGCUGCACACAGCCCCUGCUGCCCACCCCCAGCUCCUCACCAAACCCUCUGGAAACCCACACCCUCGGUGGGCAAUGGUCAGGGGCAGCAGCAGGGGCAGGUCUGGAAGUACCAGAGACCAAAAAGGUCUUGGUAGAGGAGAGGGAAUGCUUGAAACUCUACGACUUCCAACACCUGUUUCAAGUGGAACACAAUGAAAACCAGAGUUGGAGUGCUAGAAAAGAGAAGCUUCCCCCACCCCUCACACAUCAGGCAUGGUCAGAGUACUGGGGUUUUAAAAAUGGAGUAUCCCACCUCAGUAGCCAGCUCUAAGCAGUAGAGAAAUGGGCCCAAUUUGGACCCUGUUUUAUGAGCCCCCCUGGAUGGCUGAAAUGAUGGGUAUGAGGAUGACAGCACCAUCCAGAGCAGCAGACAGAGAGAGACAGGAAUCUGCAAUUCACAGGCCCUGCUGGUCAAGCAAAGGCCUUAGCUAAGAGGGAGAAAUACUUGGAAGAUAACAGAGACCAUGAGCUGUCCCAAGAAGCAGACAGAACAGACAAAAAUUGGAAUACUGAGGAAGAGAGUCUUUCCAUGCUCCUUCCACAUGAGGCAAAGGAAGAGCACUGGGACAGUCAACUACACACACCCACAAGGCACCAAAUUGGAUCUGCCAAGGUGGGUCCAUAACAGGCCUUCUUAUGACCUGGAUCUGCUGUCUGGCUUGGACAAAGACAUGGAUUGAGAAGAAGAAUGUUUUUCAACCUUGAAAGCGAUGACAUGUGGGAUAUGAGGGAAAGAAUCCCUUCCAAAGAAAACACUUUCUGGGAGGAAGAGUUGAUGGCAUGAAAUAGGAAGUCAAUUGAGCAUAUCCUACACACGUCUGCACCUACAGCUAUCCCCACGCAACAGGCCUCUCUUUUCAGAAGGACACUUGGUGCUCUGUGCAAGUUGUUCCUGCAUCACAGGACAGCCAGAGCUAUAGCAUCCUCCUCUCAGCUUCAGGUGGAUCUCUGGAGAUGGUAGCUGGCCCUAAGCCUGUGCAGAAUCCCUGCAAAAUCCCAGAAGCUAAGGGGCUAAUGUGUAUGUCUCAAACAACAAUACACAGAUGGAUAGCUGAGGAUCCAGCCAAGUAUUUUGGCAAUAAAAGACAAGAAUUGUUGAUAAUAACCAAGGAUUUUUGGUAAUAACAUGCCAUGGGAAAGAACAGGAUGUGGCUGGAGAAGGCAACCACACAGUAGGCUGUGCUGGCCCAGGUAGUGCAGUGCUUUUCCAGGACAAACAUGCUUGUUGUACCUUCCAGAGAUAAGCACAACACAAUAGCACCUAAGCACAUGAACAAGGCCAAGAUGCAGCAUUUGACCGUAGUGGGAUAUUAAGGCCACCCAAAACCCCCAAAGGCUUCUAAGAAAUGAAUUUCCAGAAACAUCUGAAAGAAUGCACUGUUCAUGAUGACAAAUUUGCACGGCAAGUGAGACACCUGCCUUCAGGCAGGAAAACCUCUCUAUAAAAAGUGCCUCCAGUCAAGUCCAGGGGGAAUUUCCCAUGUGAUAUUAGAGUUGUGGAAAAAGGAGAUAAUUGUUUCCUCCUUGUUUCCUCCUAGUUAUUCUCCUUGAACCUAUUCUGUUUGGCCAGUAAAAAAGCCAAACAGAAAAUGGGGAUUGAACAUGGAUUAUGGAAAAUUAAAUGCUAAUACUGCACCUUUAACAGCA